GGGCGUGUGGCGCAGUUGGUAGCGCGUUCGCUUCGCAUGCGAAAGGUCUCUGGUUCGAUUCCUGACUCGUCCA
rfam:Clavispora lusitaniae ATCC 42720 scaffold_1 genomic scaffold, whole genome shotgun sequence.